AUUGAACGCUGGCGGCAGGCCUAACACAUGCAAGUCGAACGAGUGGCGGACGGGUGAGUAAUGUCUGGGAAACUGCCUGAUGGAGGGGGAUAACUACUGGAAACGGUAGCUAAUACCGCAUACCAUCGGAUGUGCCCAGAUGGGAUGAGCUAGUAGGUGGGGUAAAGGCUGACCUAGGCGACGAUCCCUAGCUGGCCUGAGAGGAUGACCAGCAACACUGGAAUGGAGAAACGGCCCAGACUCUUACGGGAGGCAGAAGUGGGGAAUAUUGCACAAUGGGUGAAAGCCUGAUGCAGCAAUGCCGCGGGGAUGAAGAAGGCCUUCGGGUUGUAAAGUACUUUCAUCGGGGAGGCGGUACCCGCAGAGGAAGCAACGGCUAACUCCGUGCCAGCAGCCGCGGUAAUAC
rnacentral:rRNA from 1 species